rnacentral:lncRNA from 1 species
CCGCGCCGCCUGUAGAAAACUCGAUGUUGCAGGCGCGGCGGUCCAACUGCUAAGAGCCGAAGCUGCUGGGCUGGGAAAUGGUUGCAGUCAAGAGCAUCCGCACAGGCUCUGCAGAAAGUCGGGGGUUAGAAAGGCUGCUCGGAGAUGCCUCCGCGCUGGAAACAGUCUGGCACCUCACUCCACAGCCCGAUUCCUGUAGCUUUUGACCCCGCCUCCACCUUUAGAGCGCUAGUGCUCUCUGGACCCAGAGUUUUGCCACAGCCUACAACCCGCUUGACAACAGGCCGACCCUUCCCCAUCUUUCCUACUAGCGCCCCAGCCGCUCUGGCUCUGGGGCUGGUUAAGUUUGCAUGACUGUAUCUCUGCUGGUAAACCACAAACCAUGAGGGAAGUAAGGGGUCCUGCAUCAGCGCUGGUCUCUGA